rnacentral:lncRNA from 1 species
GACGGCGCGGCCCCGUCACCCGCUGGGCCGACAGCGCGCUCAACCAAUAGCAACGCCGGUCUUCCCACCGAGGCGGGUUCUGAGCGUGACAUCAUCCCCCCCCGCCUGUCCUCUCGUGCUUGUGAAGUCCGACCGCCUGGGUGGAUAGAGAGGCCUUUUUAAAGAAGAAAGAGCGACCCCUAGACUGGCGUAGCUUGACGUCACCGUCCUUUUCCCACGGGCAUCCACAAUGGCCUAAUUGGCCCGCCCACUUUGGUCGCCGUGGCCAAUGGGAGCGGUUGUAGCGAAGGGAAGCCGAGAUGGAACAGUGUAAUAAGAAAUCGAGGGUUCGAUUCCUGCCUGCUCCAACAUUCUGCAUUGCCUGCAGUUUCUGGAUGGUGUUCAAGCAGAGCUCCACUUCAAGC